CCUACGGGAGGCAGCAGUAGGGAAUCUUUCACAAUGGGCGAAAGCCUGAUGGAGCAACGCCGCGUGCAGGAUGAAGGCCUUCGGGUUGUAAAAUGCUUUUAUAAGCGAGAAAUAUGAUGGUAACUUAUGAAUAAGGAUCGGCUAACUACGUGCCAGCAGCAGCGGUCAUACGUAGGAUCCGAGCAUUAUCCGGGGUGACUGGGUGUAAAGAGUUGCGUUGGGGGCAUAAUAAGUAGCUAGUGAAAUCUGGUGGCUCAACCAUUCAGACUAUAAGCUAAACUGUUAAGCUCGAGACCGUUAGGGGUAACUGGAAUUUCUAGUGUAGGAGUGAAAUCCGUAGAUAUUAGAAGGAACACCAAUAGCGUAGGCAGGUUGCUGGGACGGUUCUGACGCUAAGGCACGAAGGCGUAGGGAGCGAACGGGAUUAGAUACCCUGGUAGUC
rnacentral:rRNA from 1 species